rnacentral:tRNA from 1 species
GCCCGCAUGGUGCAACAGUAGCACAUCCGACUUUCUAUCGGAAAACCCCGGGGCAGCACCGGGUGCGGGUG